CAUAUAGAUAAAAGAGAAAGGAUACACCAGAGAGGAAAGAGGGAGAAACCGUUGGAUAGACUUUCUUCAGUUACCUGGGAGAAAAUGGAAGUGGCAAAGAAGGAAAUGGAUGUUACGUAUAAGAAACGAAGGAGAGUGAUGCUGGAGGAGGACAGAGGAAGUCUAUGGAAAGGAAGUACCCUGAGAAGAGUACAUACAGUGCACCUGGUGCAUAUCUUAUGGGAAAGGAAGGAUGACCCAAAUUCACAAACGGUGGAUCCAAAUACCAUUGGGGAUAUUUCCCAGGCAUCCAGAACUGGAAACGUGCACCUGGCCAGAUUCAGAGUCACUAUGGAUCAGCUAUGUGCCUCUUAUUUUUCCCCGUUUUGAAGGUAGAUGUCUGUUGUGGUUGCUGUAACUGUCUCACGUUGUAUACUGAGUGUGUAGGAAACAGAGUACUUGUCUCUUUAGCUCAGAGCCUUCAGAGCAAGAGGAACCAUAUUCCAGGAACCAUUCUCAAGGAACUUCCUCCAAACCUGCUCCUGAUUUUAGAUAACUAGAUGAUGGACUUUGAGAUGAUGCCAUAAUGGGAUCAAAUGGGACGAAACUUUGGGCAUCUUGCUGGAGGUGAAUGAAUUCUGCAAGGAGAAGAAAUGUAAAUAACUUGUGGCUGUAGGAAAGAUGAUAGCAAAGAAACCAUGUCUGUGUUACUUAAAAUUUCCCUUUUGAGAGUUUGGAUCUAUUUCCCUUCCAUUGAAUCUACACUGGACAAGAUCCUUGGAGCAUUCCAGCAUGAUGGGUUGGAAUGAUACUAUAACAGUUGCAAGCCUAGACUUUAGGAACUGUAAGUUUCUGUCUUGAUAUCUUAAAUCUAUGAGCUAUCGUUAUAAAAUCUGAUUUCCCAGUUGGAGAUACCACAGGAAGAUCUAAGACUACAUGGGGAAGGUGAAGAGCCCAGCUGAAGUCACCUCUCUGGAUAUGACCCUUCAAUUGGCAGGCAUGUGAGUAAAGCCAGUGGACUUUCUAGAACAGUCCAGCUGAAUUCCAUUGAAAGAUUACGGUCAAAGUUA
rnacentral:lncRNA from 1 species